GAUGAACGCUGGCGGCGUGCCUAAUACAUGCAAGUCGAGCGAACAGACGAGGAGCUUGCUCCUCUGACGUUAGCGGCGGACGGGUGAGUAACACGUGGAUAACCUACCUAUAAGACUGGGAUAACUUCGGGAAACCGGAGCUAAUACCGGAUAAUAUAUUGAACCGCAUGGUUCAAUAGUGAAGGACGGUUUUGCUGUCACUUAUAGAUGGAUCCGCGCCGCAUUAGCUAGUUGGUAAGGUAACGGCUUACCAAGGCGACGAUGCGUAGCCGACCUGAGAGGGUGAUCGGCCACACUGGAACUGAGACACGGUCCAGACUCCUACGGGAGGCAGCAGUAGGGAAUCUUCCGCAAUGUGCGAAAGCCUGACGGAGCAACGCCGCGUGAGUGAUGAAGGUCUUCGGAUCGUAAAACUCUGUUAUUAGGGAAGAACAAAUGUGUAAGUAACUAUGCACGUCUUGACGGUACCUAAUCAGAAAGCCACGGCUAACUACGUG
rnacentral:rRNA from 1 species